UACAGAGGGUGCAAGCGUUGUUCGGAAUUAUUGGGCGUAAAGCGCGUGUAGGCGGCUUUGCAAGUCGGGUGUGAAAGCCCUCAGCUCAACUGAGGAAGUGCGCCCCGAAACUGCAGAGCUUGAGUACCGGAGAGGAUGGUGGAAUUCCCCAAGUAGAGGUGAAAUUCGUAGAUAUGGGGAGGAACACCGGUGGCGAAGGCAGCCCCCUGGGUCGACACUGACGCUCAUGCACGAAAGCGUGGGGAGCAAACAGG
rnacentral:rRNA from 1 species